AAUAUGUACGCAGGAAAAGGUCCUUCGAAGGGCAAUAGAGAAGCGCGGUGAGGAGAUCCGGGAAGGUCUCCGAUUCCGCCACGGUCCCGCCGCUGUGACGCUGAGCCGACCCCAAGAAGCCACUGGAUGAAUCCGGGAAGGCGGGGAAAGCGAGGAAGCGAAGUCAGAAGAACUGCCUUUUCAUGCGUGAGAUC
rnacentral:ncRNA from 2 species